rnacentral:tRNA from 12 species
CGCAGGGUGGAGCAGUCUGGUAGCUCGUCGGGCUCAUAACCCGAAGGUCACAGGUUCAAAUCCUGUCCCUGCAACCA